rnacentral:misc_RNA from 1 species
AAAUUUAUUGGUUACCGUCUUGGAGUCUUAUUUACCUAAGUCUCUCUCGACCUAUCACCGACAUAUUUGUGCACUGUAUAAAAAAACCCACUCUAAUUGUCUGAUACUAUUUCUUUUUGUGUUUUUUUACUCUGUAAAAAACGUGAAUACGAAUAUAAAUA